rnacentral:rRNA from 1 species
ACAUGCCUACAACAUAGAAUUAAUGCACCGGAUCCCAUUAGAACUCUGUAGUUAAGCGCACUCGGGCUAGAGUAGUACUAGGAUGGGUGAUCGCCCGAGAAUUCCUAGUGUUUUACAUGCC